rnacentral:rRNA from 1 species
UAAGCGACUAAGCGUACACGGUGGAUGCCCUGGCAGUCAGAGGCGAUGAAGGACGUGCUAAUCUGCGAUAAGCGUCGGUAAGGUGAUAUGAACCGUUAUAACCGGCGAUUUCCGAAUGGGGAAACCCAGUGUGUUUCGACACACUAUCAUUAACUGAAUCCAUAGGUUAAUGAGGCGAACCGGGGGAACUGAAACAUCUAAGUACCCCGAGGAAAAGAAAUCAACCGAGAUUCCCCCAGUAGCGGCGAGCGAACGGGGAGCAGCCCAGAGCCUGAAUCAGUGUGUGUGUUAGUGGAAGCGUCUAGAAAGGCGCGCGAUACAGGGUGACAGCCCCGUACACAAAAAUGCACAUACUGUGAGCUCGAUGAGUAGGGCGGGACACGUGGUAUCCUGUCUGAAUAUGGGGGGACCAUCCUCCAAGGCUAAAUACUCCUGACUGACCGAUAGUGAACCAGUACCGUGAGGGAAAGGCGAAAAGAACCCCGGCGAGGGGAGUGAAAAGAACCUGAAACCGUGUACGUACAAGCAGUGGGAGCACGCUUAGGCGUGUGACUGCGUACCUUUUGUAUAAUGGGUCAGCGACUUAUAUUCUGUAGCAAGGUUAACCGAAUAGGGGAGCCGAAGGGAAACCGAGUCUUAACUGGGCGUUAAGUUGCAGGGUAUAGACCCGAAACCCGGUGAUCUAGCCAUGGGCAGGUUGAAGGUUGGGUAACACUAACUGGAGGACCGAACCGACUAAUGUUGAAAAAUUAGCGGAUGACUUGUGGCUGGGGGUGAAAGGCCAAUCAAACCGGGAGAUAGCUGGUUCUCCCCGAAAGCUAUUUAGGUAGCGCCUCGUGAAUUCAUCUCCGGGGGUAGAGCACUGUUUCGGCAAGGGGGUCAUCCCGACUUACCAACCCGAUGCAAACUGCGAAUACCGGAGAAUGUUAUCACGGGAGACACACGGCGGGUGCUAACGUCCGUCGUGAAGAGGGAAACAACCCAGACCGCCAGCUAAGGUCCCAAAGUCAUGGUUAAGUGGGAAACGAUGUGGGAAGGCCCAGACAGCCAGGAUGUUGGCUUAGAAGCAGCCAUCAUUUAAAGAAAGCGUAAUAGCUCACUGGUCGAGUCGGCCUGCGCGGAAGAUGUAACGGGGCUAAACCAUGCACCGAAGCUGCGGCAGCGACGCUUAUGCGUUGUUGGGUUGGGGAGCGUUCUGUAAGCCUGCGAAGGUGUGCUGUGAGGCAUGCUGGAGGUAUCAGAAGUGCGAAUGCUGACAUAAGUAACGAUAAAGCGGGUGAAAAGCCCGCUCGCCGGAAGAUCAAGGGUUCCUGUCCAACGUUAAUCGGGGCAGGGUGAGUCGACCCCUAAGGCGAGGCCGAAAGGCGUAGUCGAUGGGAAACAGGUUAAUAUUCCUGUACUUGGUGUUACUGCGAAGGGGGGACGGAGAAGGCUAUGUUGGCCGGGCGACGGUUGUCCCGGUUUAAGCGUGUAGGCUGGUUUUCCAGGCAAAUCCGGAAAAUCAAGGCUGAGGCGUGAUGACGAGGCACUACGGUGCUGAAGCAACAAAUGCCCUGCUUCCAGGAAAAGCCUCUAAGCAUCAGGUAACAUCAAAUCGUACCCCAAACCGACACAGGUGGUCAGGUAGAGAAUACCAAGGCGCUUGAGAGAACUCGGGUGAAGGAACUAGGCAAAAUGGUGCCGUAACUUCGGGAGAAGGCACGCUGAUAUGUAGGUGAAGUCCCUCGCGGAUGGAGCUGAAAUCAGUCGAAGAUACCAGCUGGCUGCAACUGUUUAUUAAAAACACAGCACUGUGCAAACACGAAAGUGGACGUAUACGGUGUGACGCCUGCCCGGUGCCGGAAGGUUAAUUGAUGGGGUCAGCGCAAGCGAAGCUCUUGAUCGAAGCCCCGGUAAACGGCGGCCGUAACUAUAACGGUCCUAAGGUAGCGAAAUUCCUUGUCGGGUAAGUUCCGACCUGCACGAAUGGCGUAAUGAUGGCCAGGCUGUCUCCACCCGAGACUCAGUGAAAUUGAACUCGCUGUGAAGAUGCAGUGUACCCGCGGCAAGACGGAAAGACCCCGUGAACCUUUACUAUAGCUUGACACUGAACAUUGAGCCUUGAUGUGUAGGAUAGGUGGGAGGCUUUGAAGUGUGGACGCCAGUCUGCAUGGAGCCGACCUUGAAAUACCACCCUUUAAUGUUUGAUGUUCUAACGUGGACCCGUAAUCCGGGUUGCGGACAGUGUCUGGUGGGUAGUUUGACUGGGGCGGUCUCCUCCUAAAGAGUAACGGAGGAGCACGAAGGUUGGCUAAUCCUGGUCGGACAUCAGGAGGUUAGUGCAAUGGCAUAAGCCAGCUUGACUGCGAGCGUGACGGCGCGAGCAGGUGCGAAAGCAGGUCAUAGUGAUCCGGUGGUUCUGAAUGGAAGGGCCAUCGCUCAACGGAUAAAAGGUACUCCGGGGAUAACAGGCUGAUACCGCCCAAGAGUUCAUAUCGACGGCGGUGUUUGGCACCUCGAUGUCGGCUCAUCACAUCCUGGGGCUGAAGUAGGUCCCAAGGGUAUGGCUGUUCGCCAUUUAAAGUGGUACGCGAGCUGGGUUUAGAACGUCGUGAGACAGUUCGGUCCCUAUCUGCCGUGGGCGCUGGAGAACUGAGGGGGGCUGCUCCUAGUACGAGAGGACCGGAGUGGACGCAUCACUGGUGUUCGGGUUGUCAUGCCAAUGGCACUGCCCGGUAGCUAAAUGCGGAAGAGAUAAGUGCUGAAAGCAUCUAAGCACGAAACUUGCCCCGAGAUGAGUUCUCCCUGACUCCUUGAGAGUCCUGAAGGAACGUUGAAGACGACGACGUUGAUAGGCCGGGUGUGUAAGCGCAGCGAUGCGUUGAGCUAACCGGUACUAAUGAACCGUGAGGCUUAACCU